UUACUCAUUGUAAGUCUUAAAAGUAGAUGAAUUAGAGAAUAGCAGAGAAAAUAUAAUUGCUUUGAAUUUUCACUUUUGCUUUUACUAAACAAUUUUAUUUCUGUUGUCAGGGAAAAAGAAUUAGUAACUAUGGUACAUGUUUCUAUUAUAAGAAAUCUGGUACAUGUUUCAUCUGUUCUCCUAUUUGCUAAUGAAUUAUCAUCACUGAUUAAACAGAUAGUUAUAAUCUGCUAAUGCUAUUCCUUUCUAAUAACUGUUUCUUUUGCCUAAUGGUGCUAUCCUUGCCUGUUACAUGCGUAAUUAUAUAUGAAUAAGAACAGAAACUUUAUGUUCUUAUUCAUAUAUACUAAAUUAAACCUUGGUACCGUAUAGGUAUCUUACCGGCAUGGUACGGUCAGUAUGGGGUGGUACAAAUCAGUAUGACAGACCUUAUGUAUAACAAUGGCCAGAGUAAAAUUCUCGAGUUUCUUCAACCAUGGUAGCUGGAAAGUUUCUAUUGAGGGUGCUUCGCACAAGUAAUCAUCCUCAAUUUUUUUAACCCCUAUCACUUUAGUGUGAACUUAGUGUCCAUUCAACACAUGCUUUAUGAAUGAUUGGAUGCCCAUGACUUUUAUUUAUGGUUCCAUCUAGGAUGCUGUUUGUUCUGUCACUCCACAUCUUUGUUUACUGCACUGAAUCAUUGUUCCAAGUAACCACAUUUCUUGCAAUAUUUUUGUGUUGCAUGCACUUCAGCUAGCAGAAGUAGUUGUUGUGUCCUAGUUUUUGCUAGUGGUUUCUCCUGUUGUUAUUGUUUGUUUAUCAAUCAUGCUAUUUAAUCUGGCUUCUAUUAAAUUUACUGAUAUAUAACUUGCAGGGCACUGGGGAUUUGAUGACUGCACUUUUGCUGGGAUGGAGCAAUAAAUAUCCAGACAAUCUGGACAAAGCCUCAGAGCUUGCAGUAUCAAGUUUGCAGGUAAUUAUUUUUUUUUGCCUCCUAGCAUUUUUCCUAUGAUUCACCUUAUAAGCUUCUUAUGACCAAUCCUGUCGAAUGAAUUCUUUGCUUUUGUGGAACUGGUUGAUUGUUAUCUACUUAUAUGCUAUGCUUAAUAUUUAAUUAAUAUUUUCCCUUUCAUCUUAUGCUAUAAAAACUAAAGGAAGAGCAUUAACCAAUACAAAGACACUAUAAACAAUGAUUCAUGAAUGAUUGGUUAAUUAUAAGGUUAUUAUAAUUAGUUUUGAACUAGGUGGUCAAACUGAAUUUUCCUAGAAAUAUACAUCACUAUAAUAACCUUAUAAGGUUAUUAUAAGGUUAUUAUGAUACUUUAUGGUCAAUAUGAUAUGUUUGAAUUUUGGUAUAUAAAGCUUACAUGAGAGUUUAAGCCUCAAGUGCCAGAAUCAUAGCUGCUGCAUUUGUGUUAUUCUAACCUUUAAAUAUAGGGUGUAUCAGCUGUUUCUUGAUGUGAAAAGAUCGGCACAGUAUUUAAUGGAGUACCAGAGCCAGUAUAUGUUCAAUGAAGUGCUGAGGGAGGCAGAUGAAGAUGAAACCACACAAUUUUGAUCUGGGACAUGUAGAGUUCUAUCUGAAUGUUUACUUGUCAUGGUAGGGUAGGAUUACAAUCGAAGUAUUCUGCUCUUGCUUAAUUUAUGUACUAUGGUUGUGUGGAAUCUUGGAUCAAGUCAAAAACAAGAUUUCCUAUGUAGAGGGAUGUGUUCUGUUUAAUACUUUAAAUCUUUGACAGACUAGUUGGUUUUCUUCUAUAUUGGUUCA